rnacentral:rRNA from 1 species
CUACGGAGGGGGUUAGCGUUGUUCGGAAUUACUGGGCGUAAAGCGCACGUAGGCGGAUUGGAAAGUUGGGGGUGAAAUCCCAGGGCUCAACCCUGGAACUGCCUCCAAAACUAACAGUCUAGAGUUCGAGAGAGGUGAGUGGAAUUCCAAGUGUAGAGGUGAAAUUCGUAGAUAUUUGGAGGAACACCAGUGGCGAAGGCGGCUCACUGGCUCGAUACUGACGCUGAGGUACGAAAGUGUGGGGAGCAAACAGGAUUAGAAACCCGGGUAGUCC